rnacentral:lncRNA from 1 species
GGAGGAGGAGGAGAAAAAAUGCAGGGGUUAGAGGGGAGGGUCAGGUUGCCUUUAGCUGAGUUCAUUCUCCUUAUUUUUCCUCCUUUGAAUCGUCUUGUUUCAGUUCCCCCUCUUCUCUCUUUACUUGGGUUGCAUGAGUUCGGACAGAGAGCCGAACUGGAAGACCUUGGACUGGUAAACACCAAAAGGACAAAAGUUUGAUCCUGUGUUUUUCUUUUUCUUUCUUUUUUUGUUUUUUUCAUAUUUUCUUUUUCUACAAAAAAUCUGCAAUGUUCUGUUGCUACGGUUGAAGCUCCCCCAAAACACACAGAAUCAUCCUGAGGUAUUUUAUUUGAUUAAAUUUGGCUUUGUGAGUCCAAUCAAAC